rnacentral:lncRNA from 1 species
AAGAGAAGAAAUGAGCAAGAGAGUUAUGUUAAUAUAGUCAUCAGAGAUAAUUCUGAUGAUAGUGAUAACAACAGUGUUGGGGUAGUUCUAUCUAUGAAUUCGAAUCAUAGAAAGAACUUCUAGAUUCUUGAUUCUGGUGCUAUAUUCUACAUGUGUCCACAUAGGCACUGAUUUACUACUUACAGGCAGAUGAGUGAUACCGUUUAUAUGGAAGAUGAUAAUUCUGAUGAUAGUGAUAACAACAGUGUUGGGGUAGUUCUAUCUGUGAAUUCGAAUCAUAGAAAGAACUCCUAGAUUCUUAAUUCUGGUGCUAUAUUCUACAUGUGUCCACAUAGGCACUGGUUUACUACUUACAGGCAGAUGGGUGAUACCGUUUAUAUGGAAGAUGAUAGUUCGUUAUCUGUAGUUGAGAUUGAUAAUAUUAUAUUAAGAAUGUUUGAUGUUAUUAUCAAGACUAUUGAG